rnacentral:rRNA from 1 species
GAUGAACGCUGGCGGCGUGCCUAAUACAUGCAAGUCGAGCGAACAGACGAGGAGCUUGCUCCUCUGACGUUAGCGGCGGACGGGUGAGUAACACGUGGAUAACCUACCUAUAAGACUGGGAUAACUUCGGGAAACCGGAGCUAAUACCGGAUAAUAUAUUGAACCGCAUGGUUCAAUAGUGAAAGACGGUUUUGCUGUGACUUAUAGAUGGAUCCGCGCCGCAUUAGCUAGUUGGUAAGGUAACGGCUUACCAAGGCAACGAUGCGUAGCCGACCUGAGAGGGUGAUCGGCCACACUGGAACUGAGACACGGUCCAGACUCCUACGGGAGGCAGCAGUAGGGAAUCUUCCGCAAUGGGCGAAAGCCUGACGGAGCAACGCCGCGUGAGUGAUGAAGGUCUUCGGAUCGUAAAACUCUGUUAUUAGGGAAGAACAAAUGUGUAAGUAACUAUGCACGUCUUGACGGUACCUAAUCAGAAAGCCACGGCUAACUACGU